GAAUUAGUAACUUAACUGGUAAAGGACCCUCCUGUCACGAGGGUAGAUGCGGGUUCGAUGCCUGUCUAAUUCG